rnacentral:rRNA from 1 species
UACGUAGGGACCGAGCGUUGUCCGGAUUCAUUGGGCGUAAAGAGCUCGUAGGCGGCCACUCAAGUCGAAUGUGAAACCUCGAGGCUUAACCUCGAGCCUGCAUUCGAUACUGGGCGGCUAGAGUCUGGUAGGGGGAUCUGGAAUUCCUGGUGUAGCGGUGGAAUGCGCAGAUAUCAGAAGGAACACCCGUGGCGAAGGCGGCUCCCUGGUCCGUUUCUGACGCUGAGACGCGAAAGCGCGGGGAGCGAACGGG